AAAUUGAAGAGUUUGAUCAUGGCUCAGAUUGAACGCUGGCGGCAGGCCUAACACAUGCAAGUCGAACGGUAACAGGAAACAGCUUGCUGUUUCGCUGACGAGUGGCGGACGGGUGAGUAAUGUCUGGGAAACUGCCUGAUGGAGGGGGAUAACUACUGGAAACGGUAGCUAAUACCGCAUAAUGUCGCAAGACCAAAGAGGGGGACCUUCUGGCCUCUUGCCAUCGGAUGUGCCCAGAUGGGAUUAGCUUGUUGGUGGGGUAACGGCUCACCAAGGCGACGAUCCCUAGCUGGUCUGAGAGGAUGACCAGCCACACUGGAACUGAGACACGGUCCAGACUCCUACGGGAGGCAGCAGUGGGGAAUAUUGCACAAUGGGCGCAAGCCUGAUGCAGCCAUGCCGCGUGUAUGAAGAAGGCCUUCGGGUUGUAAAGUACUUUCAGCGGGGAGGAAGGGAGUAAAGUUAAUACCUUUGCUCAUUGACGUUACCCGCAGAAGAAGCACCGGCUAACUCCGUGCCAGCAGCCGCGGUAAUACGGAGGGUGCAAGCGUUAAUCGGAAUUACUGGGCGUAAAGCGCACGCAGGCGGUUUGUUAAGUCAGAUGUGAAAUCCCCGGGCUCAACCUGGGAACUGCAUCUGAUACUGGCAAGCUUGAGUCUCGUAGAGGGGGGUAGAAUUCCAGGUGUAGCGGUGAAAUGCGUAGAGAUCUGGAGGAAUACCGGUGGCGAAGGCGGCCCCCUGGACGAAGACUGACGCUCAGGUGCGAAAGCGUGGGGAGCAAACAGGAUUAGAUACCCUGGUAGUCCACGCCGUAAACGAUGUCGACUUGGAGGUUGUGCCCUUGAGGCGUGGCUUCCGGAGCUAACGCGUUAAGUCGACCGCCUGGGGAGUACGGCCGCAAGGUUAAAACUCAAAUGAAUUGACGGGGGCCCGCACAAGCGGUGGAGCAUGUGGUUUAAUUCGAUGCAACGCGAAGAACCUUACCUGGUCUUGACAUCCACAGAACUUUCCAGAGAUGGAUUGGUGCCUUCGGGAACUGUGAGACAGGUGCUGCAUGGCUGUCGUCAGCUCGUGUUGUGAAAUGUUGGGUUAAGUCCCGCAACGAGCGCAACCCUUAUCCUUUGUUGCCAGCGGUCCGGCCGGGAACUCAAAGGAGACUGCCAGUGAUAAACUGGAGGAAGGUGGGGAUGACGUCAAGUCAUCAUGGCCCUUACGACCAGGGCUACACACGUGCUACAAUGGCGCAUACAAAGAGAAGCGACCUCGCGAGAGCAAGCGGACCUCAUAAAGUGCGUCGUAGUCCGGAUUGGAGUCUGCAACUCGACUCCAUGAAGUCGGAAUCGCUAGUAAUCGUGGAUCAGAAUGCCACGGUGAAUACGUUCCCGGGCCUUGUACACACCGCCCGUCACACCAUGGGAGUGGGUUGCAAAAGAAGUAGGUAGCUUAACCUUCGGGAGGGCGCUUACCACUUUGUGAUUCAUGACUGGGGUGAAGUCGUAACAAGGUAACCGUAGGGGAACCUGCGGUUGGAUCACCUCCUUACCUUAAAGAAGC
rnacentral:rRNA from 1 species